ACUGACUAUCCAAGUCCCUGUUGGAGUCAGUCAGAGCAUUUCCAUAGAGAGCCACUUUGCAUCAGCAGCACCAUGCUCCAGUGCUCUGGGAGAGUUUAUAGUCCUGAGAGUUGAACACUGGAUGACUGACAGCUGUCCUUCAUGACAACAGAAGCCACAGAAAUCCUCCUCAUCAAAAACAUGACUUUGAUCUCCGUCCUCAUCUGGACUCUCCUCUGCUGCUGCUUCACAGAGUCCAGAGGCCAGGUCACAGUGACUCAGCCUGGAGCAGUGAGCUCUGCUGUGGGAGGCUCCGUCACCAUCAACUGUAGGACCAGUCAGAACGUUUAUGUUUAUAACAAUUAUCACAAUUUAGCCUGGUACCAACAGAGAGAUGGAGAAACUCCUAAACUGCUCAUUUGGGGUGCUAAUCAGCGACAAUCAGGGAUUCCAGCUCGUUUUACAGGCAGUGGAUCAAACUCUGACUUCACUCUGACCAUCAGUGGAGUUCAGACUGAAGAUGCAGCAGUUUACUACUGUCAGAGUGAACACUACAUCAACAGUCAGCAUGUGUUCACACAGUGAAAAAGCGUCGUACAAAAACCUCCCUCAGUCAGACUGAACAGAAACUGAACUGACUGCUGCAGCUGGAAGCUACUGCAGAGACUGAUACACUUCACUGAGGACACACACACACACACACACACACACACACACACACACACACACACACACACACACACACACACACACACACACCACUUUAGGGCAACAUUAGAUGGCAGUGGUGACCAUUAUUGCCAUGAGAAUCAGGAGAGAGAUAUAAAGAGUUAUCACGUUAUGCAGAUGACACCCUGCUUUAUAUUUCUAAUCCUGAAAAUCAUUUUUAUUAUUUAGAUAUUUUAUUCAGAUAUUUUGAAUCAGUUUUAGGUCCAAAUUAAGAACAUAUGAACAUAACACAUGGAUCUGCUUUAAGGGCAGAUGUUAGUAAUAACAGAUAGCUUUGUGACUCACCAUUGAGUCCAGUGUUGUUACCAAUGAUAACUGAUAUAAAUCAAACUGGAUCGACUAUAGAAGAAUAUCUACAGUCUUAAAACCAUUAAAAAGUCAUUUGGGAAAAA